UCCAGGUCUGUUCAUCUUCAUCUUCCACUGCGCCCUGAAAGAAAACGUGCAGAAGCAGUGGAGGAGAUACAUGUGCUGCGGUCGAUUCAAGCUGUCGGACAACUCAGACUGGAGUAAGACGGCCACCAACAACACCAAGAAGGUGAGCUCAGAAAACCUGGGCAUGUCUCUGUCGUCCAGCUCGUUCGGCUCCAGCACCGCUAACUGGACGUCCAAAGCUAAAGCUACGCUCAACCCGUUCACCAAGCGACACAGUAACACAGAAACCUCUUCCAGCCAAUAGCAGGAGAGGAGGACUGACAGGUAA